GCCGGAGUGGCGGAAUCGGUAGACGCACCGGAUUCAAAAUCCGGCGGCCGCGAGGCUGUGCGGGUUCAAGUCCCGCCUCCGGUA
rnacentral:tRNA from 1 species